GACGAACGCUGGCGGCGUGCUUAACACAUGCAAGUCGAACGGAAAGGCCCUGCUUUUGUGGGGUUCUCGAGUGGCGAACGGGUGAGUAACACGUGAGUAACCUGCCCUUGACUUUGGGAUAACUUCAGGAAACUGGGGCUAAUACCGGAUAGGAGCUCCUGCUGCAUGGUGGGGGUUGGAAAGUUUCGGCGGUUGGGGAUGGACUCGCGGCUUAUCAGCUUGUUGGUGGGGUAGUGGCUUACCAAGGCUUUGACGGGUAGCCGGCCUGAGAGGGUGACCGGCCACAUUGGGACUGAGAUACGGACCAGACUCCUACGGGAGGCAGCAGUGGGGAAUAUUGCACAAUGGGAGGAAGCCUGAUGCAGAAACGCCGCGUGCGGGAUGACGGCCUUCGGGUUGUAAACAGCUUUCGCCUGUGACGAAGCGUGAGUGACGGUAAUGGGUAAAGAAGCACCGGCUAACUACGUG
rnacentral:rRNA from 1 species